rnacentral:lncRNA from 1 species
CUUUGCUUUCAAUGCAGAGUAGAACUCCUCAUGGAGACACCCUCCAAGUGUCAGGUCAGUCAGGAUGGGCAUAGAACACACUGCUUCUGCUAGGAGAUGUAUUGAGGCUGAUGUGGGACAAUGGAGAUCAUCAAGCUUGACAGUCUGGACCUGCAUUGUUUGUCAAUAUAUUUAAGCAUCACGUCUAUACAUGCAUAUGUUAUAUUUACUAAUUUCUGUCUGUAUUCUUACAUUUUAUACUGUGAGGAUCUUAGUCAAAUUAGGUAGUUCUUUGUGAGCCCAUGUAAGUUAUACAAGGAUCAUAUGCAAAUUAGAUGUUCUUUUGUGAGCCCAUGUAAGUUAUACAAGGAUCAUAUGCAAAUUAGAUGUUCUUUGUGAGCCCAUGUAAGUUAUGCAAGGAUCGUAUGCAAAUUAGAUGUUCUUUGUGAGCCCAUGUAAGUUAUACAAGGAUCAUAUGGAAAUUAGAUGUUCUUUUGUGAGCCCACUUAUGAACAGGUGCUUAAUGUAGAUUUCCACUUCACUAGAUGAAUAGCUAAGUGUAUUCAAGUGUACACAAUAUCUAGGUUCUGUCAGGUGUAUAUAAUUGCAGACUUUUUGUAUGACACAUUUUCAUUUGUGUGUGCUAGUAAAAAUGCACACGCAGACUGCUCACUUGGAUAAUUGAUCUUGAAGAGAGAGGUCUGUGUUACAGUUUUGGGGGGUAUUUCCAAGGAAAGGAACCGGCGUGGUGUGGUGCCAUGCAACCCAGUGCAUGAUAAGACUGUUCUUCCCUCUUCUCAAUGCCGAAUUACGGCGGUCAACCUACGCGUCAACCUCGGCCAUACGUAUAGUCAACCUCAGACUACGUAUACUUGGGCAACCUCGGCUAGGACAGAGUCGGGUGUUUCAAGGUCAUUCAAGGGUUAUCUUCAACCAGAUCAACGGGGCGCAUCUCUAGCUUUCCACUGUUCAAGGCAAUCACUCGCCGUCGCUACUGGUCAACACACGUUCGUCGUUGCAGUCGUCGCAUAUAGUUUCAUCGAAGUAUCAACGUUAAAUGAACUCAGAGAAGACAAACAUUUAUUUAAGCUUCAUUGAAUGCCAGUAUCCUAUUUACAGAUAAUUAUUAUUUUGUAAACGACAAUAAUAUGAUGUGUUCUAUUUGAGCAAGGAUAUUUGUAAUAUCCUCCUUGAUUUGAGUUACAUUAAAUGUUUCAUUCAACCUAUA